GACGAACGCUGGCGGCGUGCUUAACACAUGCAAGUCGAACGGAAAGGCCUGUCCUUCCUUGUGUUGGCCGGGUACUCGAGUGGCGAACGGGCGAGUAUCACGUGAGCUAUCUGCCCCCAACUUUGGUAUAAGCCUGGGAAACUGGGUCUAAUUCCCGCUUGGACCGCAGGGUGGUGUCUGUAGUGGCAAACGUUUUUCUAGUGGUCGGGGAUUAGCUCGCGGCUUAUCAGCUUGUUGGUGGGGUAAUGGCCUACGAAGACGGCGACUGGAAGCCUGCCUGGGGUGGUGGACGGCAGAAGUGGGACGGCGACACGGCGCAGAAGCCUAGGGGAGGAAGCAGUGGGGAAGAAUGAGCAGUGAGCAGAAGCCAGAUGCAGCGACGCCGAGUGGGGGAUGACGGGCUUCGGAUUGUAAACUCCUGGCGACCGCGAGGAAGCGGCCUGGUUGGAAGGGUGGUGACGGUAGUGGUAGAAGAAGCACUGGCUAACUACGUG
rnacentral:rRNA from 1 species